rnacentral:rRNA from 1 species
GACGUAGGGCGCAAGCGUUGUCCGGAUUUAUUGGGCGUAAAGAGCUCGUAGGCGGCUUGUUGCGUCGUCCGUGAAAACCCAGGGCUCAACCCUGGGCCUGCAUUCGAUACGGGCAGACUAGAGUUCGGUAGGGGAGACUGGAAUUCCUGGUGUAGCGGUGAAAUGCGCAGAUAUCAGGAGGAACACCGGUGGCGAAGGCGGGUCUCUGGGCCGAAACUGACGCUGAGGAGCGAAAGCGUGGGGAGCAAACAGG